rnacentral:rRNA from 1 species
CCAAGGAGUCUAGCGUGUGCGCGAGUCAUUGGGAUAACACUAAACCUAAAGGCGCAAUGAAAGUAAAAGUUCGUCUAGCGCGAACCGAGGGAAGACGGUCGGUCGUAUUCGGACCGGCCCGCAUUCCCGGGGCGUCUCGUUCUCAUUGCGAGAAGAGGCGCACCAAGAGCGUACACGCUGGGACCCGAAAGAUGGUGAACUAUGCCUGGUCAGGACGAAGUCAGGGGAAACCCUGAUGGAGGUCCGUAGCGAUUCUGACGUGCAAAUCGAUCGUCGGAACUGGGUAUAGGGGCGAAAGACUAAUCGAACCAUC